GGAUAAUCUGCCCUCAGGUGAGGAAUAAUCCCGGGAAACUGGGGCUAAUGCCUCAUAGGAGACGGGUGCUGGAAUGCUCUGUCUCCGAAAGGUCCGCCGCCUGAGGAUGAGUCUGCGUCCGAUUAGGUAGUUGUUGGGGUAAGGGCCCAACAAGCCUUUGAUCGGUACGGGUUGUGGGAGCAAGAGCCCGGAGAUGGAUUCUGAGACAUGAAUCCAGGCCCUACGGGGCGCAGCAGGCGCGAAAACUUUACAAUGCGAGCAAUCGUGAUAAGGAAACCCUGAGUGCCUGUCAAUGCAGGCUGUUCUGGUGUCUAACACACACCAGGAGAAAGGGCGGGGCAAGACCGGUGCCAGCCGCCGCGGUAAUACCGGCUGCUCGAGUGAUAGCCACUUUUACUGGGCUUAAAGCGUUCGUAGCUUGGUCGUUAAGUCUCUGGGGAAAUCUUUUGGCUCAACCAAAAGACGUCUCAGGGAAACUGGCGAUCUUGGAACCGGGAGAGGUAAGACGUACUUCGGGGGUAGGAGUGAAAUCUUGUAAUCCCCGAGGGACGACCGAUGGCGAAGGCAUCUUACCAGAACGGCUUCGACAGUGAGGGACGAAAGCUGGGGGAGCAAACCGGAUUAGAUACCCGGGUAGUCCCAGCCGUAAACGAUGUGCGUUAGGUGUGUCAGUGACCACGAGUCGCUGAGGUGCCGAAGGGAAACCGUGAAACGCACCGCCUGGGAAGUACGGUCGCAAGGCUGAAACU
rnacentral:rRNA from 1 species